GCUGAAUACACCCCCAUGUUGCUGGCUGCUAGCAGUCUUUGCUUAAUUUUCGUUUGUUUGAACUUUUUUCUAUUGACAUUUAUUAGCAUAUCCUAUCCUAGGACCUAUGUGAUGUGUAACUUCGCUUGAUUCUGUUGGACGUCAGUGCUCUGCCCAGCUACAAAAUAGCUUGCAAACUCGCUAGUUAGUUUGUAGUUUUAUUUGCUAGCUAGCUAGUUAGCUAACGUUUCCCUGUACUGAAGUUAGAGCCCCUUGCCAAAUUUCAAAAGGGAUGAAAUGCCAGGCUCACUGUGUAUACAGUGUCAGACACAAACCACUGUGUUUAGUAAGACCUGCAACAGUUGUUUCUUUAACCAUCCAAAAGAGAUGAUGUUACAAGCGUUGAAGAAGUAUGAUUACAAAUGGGAACACAAUGAUUGCACCCAUUAUAAUAAUAGCUCUCAGAUAUUGACUUCCACUAAAGUAUUGCUCUACAAAUUACAUACUCUGGGAUUUGUUCCCCUUCUCCUGCUUGGAAAAAGGAGAAAUGGAACAAAACAUAUCGAUAUGGAUUCCUUUUGCCCUCACCCUCAAGUCAUAAAAGAAACAGGCUCUAUUGAAACCUUGAGAAAUAUUUAUUUAGGUCUUCUGAAUGUCACACUCGGCACCGAGUCCCAAUGCCAGUGCUCCCCAGUGUCUUCAGAGCCAGACGGGACCCCCGCACCAGCCAAGGUAGAGGGAGCCCCUACAACAAUCGAUCCCGUGGAAACCCCUGCACCAACAGAGCUACACAGAAUACCCAUAUCCAUCCGACUGAACAUAAUACCCACACCAACAGAGACGUGCAAACACAACACACUAAUCAAUCCAGUGGAAACCCCAGCACCAACCAUGCGAGACGGAAUCCCCAUAUCUUUACGACGGAACCUAAUCCCCACACCAACAGAGCCAGGCAAACCAUCCACACCAACCAAUCCAGUGGGAAUCCCUAAACCAACCAAUCUAGUUGGAACUCCUACAGCAAUUGAUCCAUCAGGAACCCCUGCACCAACUAUGCUAGACAGAAUCCCCACAUCCAUCAGCCUGAACAAAAUCACCACACUAACAGAGCCAGGCAAACACUCCACAUCAACCAAUCCUGUGGGAACCCCUUCACCAAUUAAUUCAGUGGGGACCCCUGCACCAGCCGAGCUUGAUGGACUCCCCACACCAACAGACCCAGGAAAACCCUCCACAUCAACCAAGCUAGACGGAAUCCCCACAUACAUCUGCCUGAAUGGAAUCCCCACAUCCAUCUGCAUGAACGGAACCCCCACCUCAAUACAGUCCAAAAUCCCCAGACCAAUACAACCUAAAAUUCCCCACACCAAUACAGCCAGGCAAACCCUCCACACAAAAUAAUCCAGUGGGAACCUCUAUACCAAUUGAUGAAACAUCUGACUCCUCUGAGCACCAGGACCAAGAAAUGCAAAGAAAAAUGUGGACAGAUGGAGAUCUAAUCGUUGCUGAAGACGGUGCAACCAUUCAAGCACAAAAGAAAAUCAAAACAACAGAAGAGUCGCUGAACAUGGAUACGGAUAGGCCCAUGGUGUCAAGACAUGCAGAGGUAGACACUGAAGUAUUAGAUCAAUUAGAAAAGAGCAGCAUUGUACAAGCAACCAACAAGCAAACUUUGUGGGCUAUAAACUGCUUUAAGGACUGGCUGGCAGAGAAACGGAUGAUAGUGGAUUUUUCAACCAUUGAGAAAUCUGAAAUGAAUGUACUCUUGUGAGAUUUUUACUGUUCUGUUCAAAGGGGUAAAGGUGGGGAGUAUUGCAUCCCAAGCUAUAUCGGAAUCCGGGCUGGCGUGAACAGAUUCAUUAACCUCCCUCCCCUUAGCAGAUCCUGGUGCUUGAUGAAGGACAGUGAAGAAACUAAAGAAACUCAGACGAGAGGGCAGGGACAAAACUACCCAUCCAAAGGUGAUUACAGCACAAGACCUUGAGAUUCUUCAAAACUCUACUGUGCUAAGCCCCUACACACCCAGAGGACUAGUGAACCAAGUGUGGUUUGAUAUCCAGUUACACUUUGGCCCCAGAGGAAAAGAGGGCAAUAGACGGCUAACGCCACAGUCGUUUGUAAUAAGGUACGAUGAAAACGGAGCAAAAUAUGCAACGCUGACUUCCAAAGAAGAAAGACUGAACCACAAAGAUGCAGAACUGGCAGAAUCGCUGUGGAAUCAUGUUUCAGAACCCUGAUAGUCCACUCUGUCCAGUCGCCUCCUUGGAGAAGUAUCUGAGCAAGAUCCCGCCAGAUGCCACCGUCCUCUACCUCCAUCCUAUUAAGAUGGUCAUCACCAGUGACAGCAUGUGCUAUAGCCAGGAGCCAAUGGGGUUUAACUACCUUUCAUCAAUGCUUCCCCCGACUGUGCCAGGAGGCUGGUACAUUGGAAAAGUACACAAACAAUUGCUUCCGAACUUUGCGCGAGAUCAUGUCUGUCAGCAGACUGAUAGUUCCUUGAAGAGUGUCGUAGCUGAAUCAGAAUGAGUUAGGUAACAUAGAUAAAUAAGAUGUUUUAAUUAUUUUAUACUUGUCAUUAGAAUGUCUUCUUUUGGACUAUACUGUUGGCAGUUGCAUUUUCCUCUCUUCUCUAGGGAAAAGUCACUUGGGGCCCAGAGAGGGGAGAGGUCAGGCUUGUCUUUUACAUGUCUGGUAAUAGGCAGAAUAUCAGAAAGGGAAAAGUCAGGUUUAAACAUUGUCUUCAUAAUGAAUAUAUCUGUUAAACCAUGUGAAGGGCUCCACCAUGUCUGUACUCCAGUCACUCCCUCCUUUUUCCAUUGGGGGGAGGAGUAUGGUAAUGUCUGGAACCAUUGUAUGUCCCUCUGUUGCCCUUAUCUUGAUUUAGUAUAUGACCUAGAGGCUCACUACCCUCCGGGAGUUUGUCCAGGAGGGGUGUAUUUGAGAUGGGAGUAUCUAGAACUGACAAUUGAUAUAUGCCAUUGGAUGAGGUAAUGUUUUGGUAAUAUGAAGUUUUUUUAUUUAUUUUUAUUUCACCUUUAUUUAACCAGGUAGGCUAGUUGAGAACAAGUUCUCAUUUGCAACUGCGACCUGGCCAAGAUAAAGCAUAGCAGUGUGAACAGACAACACAGAGUUACACAUGGAGUAAACAAUUAACAAGUCAAUAACACAGUAGAAAAAAAAGGGGAGUCUAUAUACAUUGUGUGCAAAAGGCAUGAGGAGGUAGGCAAAUAAUUACAAUUUUGCAGAUUAAUAACACUGGAGUGAUAAAUGAUCAGAUGGUCAUGUACAGGUAG
ensembl:lncRNA